UACGUAGGGGGCAAGCGUUGUCCGGAAUCAUUGGGCGUAAAGAGCGUGUAGGCGGCCAGAUAAGUCCGCUGUGAAAUCUCGAGGCUCAACUUCGAGCUGUCGGUGGAAACUGUCUGGCUAGAGUCCGGAAGAGGAGAAUGGAAUUCCUGGUGUAGCGGUGAAAUGCGCAGAUAUCAGGAAGAACACCCGUGGCGAAGGCGGUUCUCUGGGACGGUACUGACGCUGAGACGCGAAAAGCGUGGGGGAGCGAACGG
rnacentral:rRNA from 1 species